GUGUCAGCCGCCGCGGUAAUACGGAAGGUGCGAGCGUUAAUCGGAAUUACUGGGCGUAAAGCGCACGUAGGCGGUUACUUAAGUCGGAUGUGAAAGCCCUGGGCUUAACCUGGGAAUUGCAUCCGAUACUGGGUGACUAGAGUACGGUAGAGGGGGGUGGAAUUCCAGGUGUAGCGGUGAAAUGCGUAGAGAUCUGGAGGAACACCGGUGGCGAAGGCGGCCCCCUGGACUGAUACUGACGCUGAGGUGCGAAAGCGUGGGGAGCAAACAGGAUUAGAUACCCUCGUAGUCC
rnacentral:rRNA from 1 species